GGUUUAACGCGAAGGAACCUUACCAAAUCUUGACAUCCUUUGACAACUCUAGAGAUAGAGCUUUCCCCUUCGGGGGACAAAGUGACAGGUGGUGCAUGGUUGUCGUCAGCUCGUGUCGUGAGAUGUUGGGUUAAGUCCCGCAACGAGCGCAACCCUUAUCUUUAGUUGCCAUCAUUAGGUUGGGCACUCUAGAGAGACUGCCGGUGACAAACCGGAGGAAGGUGGGGAUGACGUCAAAUCAUCAUGCCCCUUAUGAUUUGGGCUACACACGUGCUACAAUGGAUGGUACAAAGGGCAGCAAAACCGCGAGGUCAAGCAAAUCCCAUAAAACCAUUCUCAGUUCGGAUUGUAGUCUGCAACUCGACUACAUGAAGCUGGAAUCGCUAGUAAUCGUAGAUCAGCAUGCUAUCUUUC
rnacentral:rRNA from 1 species